GACGAACGCUGGCGGCGUGCCUAAUACAUGCAAGUCGAGCGGAUUGAUGGGAGCUUGCUCCCUGAGAUCAGCGGCGGACGGGUGAGUAACACGUGGGCAACCUGCCUAUAAGACUGGGAUAACUUCGGGAAACCGGAGCUAAUACCGGAUAAUCGCUUUCCUCUCAUGAGGAAAGGCUGAAAGAUGGUUUACGCUAUCAUUUAUAGAUGGGCCCGCGGCGCAUUAGCUAGUUGGUAAGGUAACGGCUCACCAAGGCAACGAUGCGUAGCCGACCUGAGAGGGUGAUCGGCCACACUGGGACUGAGACACGGCCCAGACUCCUACGGGAGGCAGCAGUAGGGAAUCUUCCGCAAUGGACGAAAGUCUGACGGAGCAACGCCGCGUGAGUGAUGAAGGUUUUCGGAUCGUAAAAUUCUGUUGUUAGGGAAGAACAAGUACGAGAGUAACUGCUCGUACCUUGACGGUACCUAACCAGAAAGCCACGGCUAACUACGUGCCAGCCGCCGCGGUAA
rnacentral:rRNA from 1 species